CCUGUGACCAGCUUAGUUCACGGAGGGUCGAGUGUUCAUGGUCCCUCCACGCUAUUGUCAACAAUGUGGCUAUGGACACGGGUAUGUAAACAUUUCUCUAAGUCCUUGCUUUCUAUUCUUUUGGGUAUAUACCUAGAAUCCAAAUUAUUUUAACAUUAUUCCCCAUUGGGGGUGGGAGGUCUGCUUUACCCAAAUUAGGAUUUGAACUUGGCCACCUGAGUAGUCUGUGGCAGCUGUGCAUGCUGGGAAGCAGUCUCCUGGAAGGGCAGUCCCAGCUCUGCAGUAGCCUGCCCUCCUUGUCCCAGCCCUCCCCCACCACACUCCUCCCCGCCCCCGCCACGGCAGCCAUGGCCAAGAGAAACCCAAAGCCAGCAUACCCAGCACUCUACUCGAAACACUCUCCUACUGAAUUUCCAAUAAAGAUGAGACAAAAUGAAAAA